GGGAACCUGCGGAGGGAUCAUUACACAAAUAUGAAGGCGGGCUGGAACCUCUCGGGGUUACAGCCUUGCUGAAUUAUUCACCCUUGUCUUUUGCGUACUUCUUGUUUCCUUGGUGGGUUCGCCCACCACUAGGACAAACAUAAACCUUUUGUAAUUGCAAUCAGCGUCAGUAACAAAUUAAUAAUUACAACUUUCAACAACGGAUCUCUUGGUUCUGGCAUCGAUGAAGAACGCAGCGAAAUGCGAUAAGUAGUGUGAAUUGCAGAAUUCAGUGAAUCAUCGAAUCUUUGAACGCACAUUGCGCCCUUUGGUAUUCCAAAGGGCAUGCCUGUUCGAGCGUCAUUUGUACCCUCAAGCUUUGCUUGGUGUUGGGCGUCUUGUCUCUAGCUUUGCUGGAGACUCGCCUUAAAGUAAUUGGCAGCCGGCCUACUGGUUUCGGAGCGCAGCACAAGUCGCACUCUCUAUCAGCAAAGGUCUAGCAUCCAUUAAGCCUUUUUUUCAACUUUUACCUCGGAAUCAGUAGGUUCCCGGUUUCACU
rnacentral:rRNA from 1 species